UACGUAGGGUGCAAGCGUUAAUCGGAAUUACUGGGCGUAAAGCGUGCGCAGGCGGUUAUGUAAGACAGAUGUGAAAUGCCCGGGCUUAACCUGGGAACUGCAUUUGUGACUGCAUGGCUAGAGUUUGGCAGAGGGGGGUAGAAUUCCACGUGUAGCAGUGAAAUGCGUAGAUAUGUGGAGGAACACCGAUGGCGAAGGUACGCC
rnacentral:rRNA from 1 species